rnacentral:rRNA from 1 species
AGUGAACGCUGGCGGCGUGCCUAAUACAUGCAAGUCGAACGGAAUUUAAAAGAGCUUGCUCUUUUAAAUUUAGUGGCGCACGGGUGAGUAAUAUAUAGCUAAUCUGCCCCUUGCUGGAGGACAACAGUUAGAAAUGACUGCUAAUACUCCAUACUCCUUUUUACCAUAAGAUAAAUCGGGAAAGAAUUUCGGCAAGGGAUGAGACUAUAUCGUAUCAGCUAGUCGGUGGGGUAACGGCCUACCGAGGCUAUGACGCGUAACUGGUCUGAGAGGAUGAUCAGUCACAUUGGAACUGAGACACGGUCCAAACUCCUACGGGAGGCAGCAGUAGGGAAUAUUGCGCAAUGGGGGAAACCCUGACGCAGCAACGCCGCGUGGAGGAUGACA